UACGAAGGGGUGCAAGCGUUACUCGGAAUUACUGGGCGUAAAAGCGUGCGUAGGUGGUUUUGUUAAGUCUGUUGUGAAAGCCCCGGGCUCACCUGGGAAUGGCAAUGGAUACUGGCAGGCUAGAGUGCGGUAGAGGGUAGUGGAAUUCCCGGUGAGCGGUGAAAUGCGUAGAGAUCGGGAGGAACACCAGUGGCGAAGGCGCCCCCUGGGUUAACACGACGCUCCAGGCACGAA
rnacentral:rRNA from 1 species